rnacentral:rRNA from 1 species
UGGGGAAUUUUGGACAAUGGGGGAAACCCUGAUCCAGCCAUCCCGCGUGUGCGAUGAAGGCCUUCGGGUUGUAAAGCACUUUUGGCAGGAAAGAAACGUCAUGGGUUAAUACCCCGUGAAACUGACGGUACCUGCAGAAUAAGCACCGGCUAACUACGUGCCAGCAGCCGCGGUAAUACGUAGGGUGCAAGCGUUAAUCGGAAUUACUGGGCGUAAAGCGUGCGCAGGCGGUUCGGAAAGAAAGAUGUGAAAUCCCAGAGCUCAACUUUGGAACUGCAUUUUUAACUACCGGGCUAGAGUGUGUCAGAGGGAGGUGGAAUUCCGCGUGUAGCAGUGAAAAGCAUAAAUAUGCGGAGGAACACCGAUGGCGAAGGCAGCCUCCUGGGAUAACACUGACGCUCAUGCACGAAAGCGUGGGGAGCAAACAGG